AAGUCGUAACAAGGUUUCCGUAGGUGAACCUGCGGAAGGAUCAUUAACACGUAUCCAAACGUUAAACCCCCCUGUGAACCUUCAGUCGUACUCGUACGUCCGUUAGAAAAAGCAGCAAUCCCUGGUAAAUCAUCGCCGAACAGUUUUCGAUUCAGGGACGUCUGCAAGGAGCGUGCAUGUUGUGCGUGUAAGUGGCCUGGCAUCCCCAAGCAGUUAGUGUCUGAAAGUGUCACUAACGUUAGUGUCUGAAAGUGUCACUAACAUGUGUAAGGAUGACGCAGUCACGAUCGUUGGAGGCCCACACGGCCGACACACCCCUGCUCUAUCUAUGGUGAUCCUGCGGGAAGUCCUGCGGUCGAACGCCGAAACCGAACAACUGUUAACAAUGGAUAUCUUGGUUCUC
rnacentral:misc_RNA from 1 species